rnacentral:rRNA from 1 species
AUUGAACGCUGGCGGCAGGCCUAACACAUGCAAGUCGAGCGGAUGAAGGGAGAUUGCUCCUGGAUUCAGCUGCGGACGGGUGAGUAAUGCCUAGGAAUCUGCCUGGUAGUGGGGUAUAACGUCCGGAAACGGGCGCUAAUACCGCAUACGUCCUUAGGGUGAAAGUGUGGGAUCUUCGGACCUCACGCUAUCAGAUGAGCCUAGGUCGGGUUAUCUAGUUGGCGGGGUAAAGGCCUACCAAGGCGACGAUCCGUAACUGGUCUGAGAGGAUGAUCAGUCAAAUUGGAACUGAGACAGGGUCCAGACUCCUACGGGAGGCAGCAGUGGGGAAUAUUGGCAAAUGGGCGAAAGCAUGAUCCAGCCAUGCCGCGUGUGUGAAGAAGGCCUUCGGAUUGUAAAGCACUUUAAGUUGGGAGGAAGGGCAGUAAGUUAAUACCUUGCUGUUUUGCCGUAACCAAAAGAAAAAGCACCGGCUAACUGCGU